rnacentral:rRNA from 1 species
AUUGAACGCUGGCGGCAGGCUUAACACAUGCAAGUCGAGCGGGGUGAUGGUGCUUGCACUAUCACUUAGCGGCGGACGGGUGAGUAAUGCUUAGGAAUCUGCCUAUUAGUGGGGGACAACAUCUAGAAAGGGAUGCUAAUACCGCAUACGUCCUACGGGAGAAAGCAGGGGAUCACUUGUGACCUUGCGCUAAUAGAUGAGCCUAAGUCGGAUUAGCUAGUUGGGGGGGUAAAGGCCUACCAAGGCGACGAUCUGUAGCGGGUCUGAGAGAAUGAUCCGCCACACUGGGACUGAGACACGGCCCAGACUCCUACGGGAGGCAGCAGUGGGGAAUAUUGGACAAUGGGGGGAACCCUGAUCCAGCCAUGCCGCGUGUGUGAAGAAGGCCUUAUGGUUGUAAAGCACUUUAAGCGAGGAGGAGGCUCUUUUGGUUAAUACCCAAGAUGAGUGGACGUUACUCGCAGAAUAAGCACCGGCUAACUCUGUGCCAGCCGCCGCAGUAA